rnacentral:lncRNA from 1 species
CUCAGCUACUUGGGAGGCUGAGGCAGGAGAAUCGCUUGAACCCGGGAGGCGGAGGUUGCAGUGAGCUGAGAUCGUGCCAUUGCACUCCAGCCUGGGUGACACAGCAAGACUCCAUCUCAAAUAAAAAAAAAAAAAAAACUACAGAAACUGGGUUGUGGGCCCAGACCUGAGUUUUAUUGAGUGAUAACUUUUUCACUGACUUUAGUUAUUCACUGUAUGAUUUUGGGAGAGUCUCUGGACCUCAUACCCAUCUUCAAAACCAGAAAAAGGAGUAAGAAUAGUGAGUAUGAAAAGUAUAUUUAAAAUCCUCUAAGCACAAGUCAUUUUUCUCCACAUUCACCUUCUGUCACUAGAAAUAACUUCUACCAUCUCUGCUCAUUUGUGAGAGUAAACUACAGAGAGGAUCCUUAGGUUAAGUUCUUAAUUUUAUGGAAGAAAAUUAAUGCAAUUAGAGUUUGGAGGCAUUUUGUACUUCAGGUAUUUAUAGGACAGAUAAAAAUCCCAAAUGUAUAAAAUCCUCCCUACCACUAAUAUAAUAAAGAUUCUCGACCUGGUGCAGUGGCUCACGCUUGUAAUCCCAGCACUUUGGGAGGCCGAGGCAGGUGGAUCACUUGAGCCCAGGAGUACGAGACCAGCCUGGGCGACAUCGUGAGACCCUGUCUUAAAAAAAAAAAAAAGAUUCUCUUUUAUCCUGAUCUUCUCCCCCAAACCAAAGCCUUAUCCCCAGUCUCUAUAGUGCAAAAGGCCAUGCUGCAGUAUUUGAUUAAACAGUCCUAGCUGUUGUGUUUCAGACUUUCAGGUUUCCCCAAGGGCUGAGAGUCUUGGGGCCUAGGAGCCAUCCCCAGAUUCCAGAGGGAAAGGCAAGAAAGCAAGAGUGAAGCAUUGUGGGUAAUGGCAGGUCUUUUCAUACACAAAACAGAAAAUAGCAACCCGAGACACACACAGUAAAAAUAAAGAGGAAGACAAGCCAAGAAAUCGGAACUGGGUCCUGUCCAAGAAGUCCAUCAGCCAACCACAAGGGCCAGGGUUAAAAGGUCAACCCUGCAAUUUUCUGGGGCAGGAGAGGUAGCUAUUCAUUUAAUCAUAUAUUCAUUGAGCAUCAGGCACUGUAAUAGGCCCUGGGGAUUAAAAAAAAAAAAAGUGAGCAAGACGGAUGCACACCCUAUCUUCACACAGCUUGAAGAGCAAAGAAUAUCUCAGCACCUGCUGUGAACAAGGCCCUGGACUGGACGUGGGCAUUCAGCCUUUGUUGGUGUACAGCAGUUCCACAGCUUCGCCUAAGUCAAAAUAAACAUGGGAUCCAAGCAGUUGCCCUUUUAAAAGACUUCGUUUCACACAAUGUAGAUAAAACAACCUCCAGGAUUGCCAGAUAAAAUGCAGGGCCAGCUAAAUUUGAAUUUCAGAUAAACAACGGACAAUUGUUUAGUACAAAUAUGUCCCACGUUUCAGAUAAACAGUGAUUUUUUUUUAACUACAGUAAGUUUCAUGUAAUAUUUAGGAUAUAUUUACAACAGAGAAUCAUUUCAUUGUGUGAAAUAAAAUAAUUCAAACUUAAAGCUGUUGAAACUUUAAAUUAUUCUGAGCUUUGAGAGGGACAUGGCUAUAUGGCAUGAGUCAAGCAGCAUGUAGUUGUAACUUCUGCUUUUUCCUGUAAGUGAUCUGGAAUGAUUGAGGCGUGCCAGAGAUAAGACCCCUGAGAACAUUACACCUCCUCACAGAAUAUUAAAGGAAUCUUCCUUGGAAUGUAGCAAGUUAAACUAAUCAAAUUGUUACAACUGUUUCUGCCUAUAUAAGUGAAAUCUUGGCCUCCUCACUUUGGAGCACUGACCCCAUUCCUUUGGAAUCAUGUUUCGCGAUGGCUAUCCUCAAGCUUUGUGCUGCAGUAAACUUUAUACUUAGUCAUAUUUUCUGAAUCUCAUUAUUGAAGGUUGACAUUUGUUUAACUGAAAUUCAGGUUUAACUGGGAGUCUUUUAUUUUAUUUGCUAAAUCUGGCAACCUUCUCAACCUCAUACUUUUCUUUCUUUCUUUCCUUUUUUGAGACAGAGUCUCACUCUGUUGCCCAGGCUGGAGUGCAGUGGCAUGAUCUCACUGCAACCUCCGCCUCCCGGGUUUAAGCUAUUCUUUUCCUCAACCUCCCCUAUAGCUGAGAUUACAGGUGCAUGGCACCACGCCCAGCUAAUUUUUGUAUUUUUAGUGGAGACAGCAUUUCACUAUGUUGGCCAGGCUGGUCUCGAACUCCUGACCUCAGGUGAUCCACCCGACUCAGACUCCCAAAGUGCUGGCAUUACAGGUGUGAGCCACCGCGCCCAGCUCAACCUCAUAGUUUUCUGUUAACACUUUCUGGCUCCUUUUUCAUAAUGUGCACAGAAAUCUAUGUUUCUUCAAAGGUAGUAAACUCUUACACACUUCACCCCUUAACUUUUUAUCAGUUUGAUUUGCCUUUUUUUUUUUGAGAUGGAUUUUCACUCUUUUUGCCCAGGCUGGAGUGCAGUGGCAUGAUCUCACCUCACCACAACCUCUGCCUCCCGGAUUCAAGAAAUUCUCCUGCCUUAGCCUCCCAAGUAGCUGGGAUUUCAGGCAUGCGCCACCAUGCUGAGCUAAUUUUGUAUUUUUAGUAGAGACAGUGUUUCACCAUGUUGGUCAGGCUGGUCUCGAACUCCCGACCUCAGGUAAUCCGCCCGCCUCAGCCUCCCAAAGUGCUGGGAUUACAGGUGUGAGCCACUGCACCUGGCUUGAUUUGCCUUUUAAAUCCCCCUUUUCUUUUCUUUCUUUUUUUUUUUUUGAGACAGCAUCUCUCUCUGUUGCCCAGGCUGGAGUGCAAUGGCGUGAUCUCGGCUCACUGCAACCUCCGCCUCCCGGGUUCAAGCAAUUCUCCUGCCUCAGCCUCCUGAGUAGCUGGGACUACAGGUGCGUGCCACCACGCCUGGCUAAAUUUUAUAUUUUUAAUAGAGAUGGGGUUUCACCAUGUUGGCCAGGAUGGUCUCGAUCUCUUGACUUUGUGAUCUGCCCACCUCGGCCUCCCAAAGUGCUGGGAUUACAGGUGUGAAGCCACCGUGCCCAGCCUAAAUCCCCCUUUUCUUAGUUUUGAGAUAUAUUUGAUAAUAAAAGACACAUACUGAAAGUAUGCAGUUUAUACAGGUGUACAGGAUAUAUACCUGUGAAAACACUACGAUAAUCUGAAUAAAUAUUAUUAUAUAUUCAUUAUUUUCUAAAGUUUUCUUGCUCACCUUUGUAAUCCUUACCCCCCACCUACUAUCUAGGCAACUACUGAUCUGUUUUCUGUUGCUGUAGAUUAAUUUGCAUUUUCUAGUAUUUUUAAUAAAUGGAAUCAUACAGUAUAUACUUUUUAACUGGAUUAUUUCACAUAGCAUAACUGUUUUUUAUUUGUAUGCCUUUUCUUUUUCUUGCCUUAUUGCACUGACUAGGGACUCUAGUAUCAUGUUUAAUUGGAGUAGUGAAAGUGAACAUCUUUGCCUUGUUCCCAACCCCAGAGGGAAAGCGUUCAGUCUUUCAACAUUAAGUAUGAUGCUAAUUUUUAAAAAUGCCUUUUUUUAGGUUGAGGAAGUUCCCUUCUACUCCUGAUUUGCUGAGAGUUAAUCAUGAAUAAAUGCUGAGUUUUAUCUGAUGCUUUUUCUGUAUCUAGAGAUUAUCAAAAGGUUUUUCUUGCAAAAUGUAUUAAUAUGGCGAAUUACAUUGGCUAUCAAAUUUUGAAUGUUGAUUUUGUUUUUGAAUGUUGAUGUUCCAAAUAUUGCAUUUUUGGGAUAAACCUACUUGGUCAUGGUAUAUUAUCCUUUUUACAUGUUGUUGGAUUUGACUUGCUAAUAUUUUGCCAAGAAUUUUGUCUUUUCAUGAGUGACACUGGUAUGUAAUUUCCUUUUCUUGUAAUUCAUUUGUCUGUUUCUUAUGUUAACUCUUUUGCUUUUCAAAAGAGGAUAUCUAGAAAUCAUAUUGAUGUAAUAUGUAUUAUACUGG